GUGUCAGCAGCCGCGGUAAUACCAGCUCUCCGAGUGGUAGGGAUGAUUAUUGGGCUUAAAGCGUGCGUAGCCGGCUUGACAAGUCUUCUGUUAAAUCCAGCAACCCAAUUGUUGGACUGCGGGAGAUACUGUCUAGCUAGAGAACGGGAGAAGCCGACGGUACUCUCAGGGUAGGAGUGAAAUCCUAUAAUCCUGGGAGGACCACCAGUGGCGUAGGCUGUCGGCUAGAACGUGUCUGACGGUGAGGAACGAAAGCUUGGGGAGCGAACCGGAUUAGAUACCCGGGUAGUCCAAGCUGUAAACGAUGCGGGCUAGGUGUUGGGGUGGCUACGUGCCACUUCAGUGCCGCAGGGAAACCGUUAAGCCCGCCGCCUGGGGAGUACGGUCGCAAGGCUGAAACUUAAAGGAAUUGGCGGGG
rnacentral:rRNA from 1 species